UAGGGUUGGAGCUAGGGUUAGGGUUAGGGUUAGGGUUGGAGUUAGGGUUAGUGUUGGAGCUAGGGUUAGGGUUGGGCUUGGAGCUAGGAUUUUUCUGAGUGCAAUGAACCAACUCCCGAGUCUCUAGGACGUUCCUAAAAAAAUUUGAUUUUUUUCCCAUAGGAAUGCAUGGGUUAGGGUUAGGGUUAGGGUUGGAGCUAGGGUUAGGGUUAGGGUUAGGGUUGGAGUUAGGGUUAGUGUUGGAGCUAGGGUUAGGGUUGGGCUUGGAGCUAGGGAUUUUUCUGAGUGCAAUGAACCAACUCCCGAGUCUCUAGGACGUUCCUAAAAAAAUUUGAUUUUUUCCCAUAGGAAUGCAUGGGUUAGGGUUAGGGUUAGGGUUGGAGCUAGGGUUAGGGUUAGGGUUAGGGUUGGAGUUAGGGUUAGUGUUGGAGCUAGGGUUAGGGUUGGGCUUGGAGCUAGGAUUUUUCUGAGUGUAAUGAACCAACUCCCGAGUCUCUAGGACGUUCCUAAAAAAAAUUGAUUUUUUCCCAUAGGAAUGCAUGGGUUAGGUUUAGGGUUAGGGUUGGAGCUAGGGUUAGGGUUAGGGUUAGGGUUGGAGUUAGGGUUAGUGUUGGAGCUAGGGUUAGGGUUGGGCUUGGAGCUAGGAUUUUUCUGAGUGCAAUGAACCAACUCCCGAGUCUCUAGGACGUUCCUAAAAAAAUUUGAUUUUUUCCCAUAGGAAUGCAUGGGUUAGGGUUAGGGUUAGGGUUGGAGCUAGGGUUAGGGUUAGGGUUAGGGUUGGAGUUAGGGUUAGUGUUGGAGCUAGGGUUAGGGUUGGGCUUGGAGCUAGGAUUUUUCUGAGUGCAAUGAACCAACUCCCGAGUCUCUAGGACGUUCCUAAAAAAAUUUGAUUUUUUUCCCAUAGGAAUGCAUGGGUUAGGGUUAGGGUUAGGGUUGGAGCUAGGGUUAGGGUUAGGGUUAGGGUUGGAGUUAGGGUUAGUGUUGGAGCUAGGGUUAGGGUUGGGCUUGGAGCUAGGAUUUUUCUGAGUGCAAUGAACCAACUCCCGAGUCUCUAGGACGUUCCUAAAAAAAUUUGAUUUUUUCCCAUAGGAAUGCAUGGGUUAGGGUUAGGGUUAGGGUUGGAGCUAGGGUUAGGGUUAGGGUUAGGGUUGGAGUUAGGGUUAGUGUUGGAGCUAGGGUUAGGGUUGGGCUUGGAGCUAGGAUUUUUCUGAGUGCAAUGAACCAACUCCCGAGUCUCUAGGACGUUCCUAAAAAAAUUUGAUUUUUUCCCAUAGGAAUGCAUGGGUUAGGGUUAGGGUUAGGGUUGGAGCUAGGGUUAGGGUUAGGGUUAGGGUUGGAGUUAGGGUUAGUGUUGGAGCUAGGGUUAGGGUUGGGCUUGGAGCUAGGAUUUUUCUGAGUGCAAUGAACCAACUCCCGAGUCUCUAGGACGUUCCUAAAAAAAUUUGAUUUUUUCCCAUAGGAAUGCAUGGGUUAGGGUUAGGGUUAGGGUUGGAGCUAGGGUUAGGGUUAGGGUUAGGGUUGGAGUUAGGGUUAGUGUUGGAGCUAGGGUUAGGGUUGGGCUUGGAGCUAGGAUUUUUCUGAGUGCAAUGAACCAACUCCCGAGUCUCUAGGAUGUUCCUACAAAAAUUUGAUUUUUUCCCAUAGGAAUGCAUGGGUUAGGGUUAGGGUUAGGGUUGGAGCUAGGGUUAGGGUUAGGGUUAGGGUUGGAGUUAGGGUUAGUGUUGCAGCUAGGGUUAGGGUUGGGCUUGGAGCUAGGAUUUUUCUGAGUGCAAUGAACCAACUCCCGAGUCUCUAGGACGUUCCUAAAAAAAAUAGAUUUUUUCCCAUAGGAAUGCAUGGGUUAGGGUUAGGGUUAGGGUUGGAGCUAGGGUUAGGGUUAGGGUUAGGGUUGGAGUUAGGGUUAGUGUUGGAGCUAGGGUUAGGGUUGGGCUUGGAGCUAGGAUUUUUCUGAGUGCAAUGAACCAACUCCCGAGUCUCUAGGGCGUUCCUAAAAAGAUUUGAUUUUUUCCCAUAGGAAUGCAUGGGUUAGGGUUAGGGUUAGGGUUAGGGUUGGAGUUAGGGUUAGGGUUGGAGUUAGGGUUAGUGUUGGAGCUAGGGUUAGGGUUGGGCUUGGAGCUAGGAUUUUUCUGAGUGCAAUGAACCAACUCCCGAGUCUCUAGGACGUUCUUAAAAAAAAUUGAUUUUUUCCCAUAGGAAUGCAUGGGUUAGGGUUAGGGUUAGGGUUGGAGCUAGGGUUAGGGUUAGGGUUAGGGUUGGAGUUAGGGUUAGUGUUGGAGCUAGGGUUAGGGUUGGGCUUGGAGCUAGGAUUUUUCUGAGUGUAAUGAACCAACUCCCGAGUCUCUAGGACGUUCCUAAAAAAAUUUGUUUUUUUCCCAUAGGAAUGCAUGGGUUAGGGUUAGGGUUAGGGUUGGAGCUAGGGUUAGGGUUAGGGUUAGGGUUGGAGUUAGGGUUAGUGUUGGAGCUAGGGUUAGGGUUGGGCUUGGAGCUAGGAUUUUUCUGAGUGCAAUGAACCAACUCCCGAGUCUCUUGGACGUUCCUAAAAAAAAAUAGAUUUUUUCCCAUAGGAAUGCAUGGGUUAGGGUUAGGGUUGGAGCUAGGGUUAGGGUUAGGGUUAGGGUUGGAGUUAGGGUUAGUGUUGGAGCUAGGGUUAGGGUUGGGCUUGGAGCUAGGAUUUUUCUGAGUGCAAUGAACCAACUCCCGAGUCUCUAGGGCGUUCCUAAAAAAAUUUGAUUUUUUCCCAUAGGAAUGCAUGGGUUAGGGUUAGGGUUAGGGUUAGGGUUAGGGUUGGAGCUAGGGUUAGGGUUAGGGUUAGGGUUGGAGUUAGGGUUAGUGUUGGAGCUAGAGUUAGGGUUGGGCUUGGAGCUAGGAUUUUUCUGAGUGCAAUGAACCAAGUGCCAACCCAAUUUUUGACCUUCCAGAAUUGUGUUAGGAGCACGUUUCAGGGCACGGGGAGUCUAUAGAACCUAAUUC